rnacentral:rRNA from 1 species
CAUAUCAAUAAGCGGAGGAAAAGAAACCAACAGGGAUUGCCCUAGUAACGGCGAGUGAAGCGGCAACAGCUCAAAUUUGAAAUCUGGCUCUUUUAGAGUCCGAGUUGUAAUUUGCAGAGGGCGCUUUGGCUUUGGCAGCGGUCCAAGUUCCUUGGAACAGGACGUCACAGAGGGUGAGAAUCCCGUACGUGGUCGCUGGCUAUUGCCGUGUAAAGCCCCUUCGACGAGUCGAGUUGUUUGGGAAUGCAGCUCUAAAUGGGAGGUACAUUUCUUCUAAAGCUAAAUAUUGGCCAGAGACCGAUAGCGCACAAGUAGAGUGAUCGAAAGAUGAAAAGCACUUUGGAAAGAGAGUCAAACAGCACGUGAAAUUGUUGAAAGGGAAGCGCUUGCAGCCAGACUUGCUUACAGUUGCUCAUCCGGGUUUUUACCCGGUGCACUCUUCUGUAGGCAGGCCAGCAUCAGUUUGGGCGGUAGGAUAAAGGUCUCUGUCACGUACCUCCUUUCGGGGAGGCCUUAUAGGGGAGACGACAUACUACCAGCCUGGACUGAGGUCCGCGCAUCUGCUAGGAUGCUGGCGUAAUGGCUGUAAGCGGCCCGUCUUGAAACACGGACCAAGGAGUCUAACAUCUAUGCGAGUGUUUGGGUGUCAAGCCCGAGCGCGUAAUGAAAGUGAACGGAGGUGGGAACCCGCAAGGGUGCACCAUCGACCGAUCCUGAUGUCUUCGGAAGGAUUUGAGUAAGAGCAUGGCUGUUGGGACCCGAAAGAUGGUGAACUAUGCUUGAAUAGGGUGAAGCCAGAGGAAACUCUGGUGGAGGCUCGCAGCGGUUCUGACGUGCAAAUCGAUCGUCAAAUUUGGGCAUAGGGGCGAAAGACUAAUCGAACUAUCUAGUAGCUGGUUCCUGCCGAGCCUCCCCUCCAACGUAGUAAA